GCAUCGAUGAAGAACGCAGCGAACUGCGAUACGUAAUGCGAAUUGCAGGAUUCAGUGAGUCAUCGAAAUUUUGAACGCAUAUUGCACUUCCGGGUUAGUCCUGGAAGUAUGCCUGUAUCAGUGUCCGUACAACAAACUUGGCUUUCUUCCUUCCGUGUAGUCGGUGGAGGAGAUGCCAGAUGUGAAGUGUCUUGCGGUUGGUUUUCGGACCGACUGCGAGUCCUUUUAAAUGUACUAAACUGUACUUCUCUUUGCUCCAAAAGUGGUGGCAUUGCUGGUUGUGGACGCUGCUAUUGUAGCGAAGUUGGCGACCGGUUUGUCUGCUGCGGCGUUAAUGGAGAAAUGCUCGAUUCGUGGGUAUGGUUGGCUUCGGCUGAACAAUGCGCUUAUUGGGUGAUUUUCCUGCUGUGGCGUGAUGGACUGGUGAACCAUGGCUCUUUAGCUUGGCAUUUGAAUCGGCUUUGCUGUUGCGAAGUAGAGUGGCGGCUUCGGCUGCCGAGGGUCGAUCCAUUUGGGAAAUGUUGUGUACUUCGGUAUGCAUCUCAAUUGGACCUGAUAUCAGGCAAGAUUACCCGCUGAACUUAAGCAUAUCAAUAAGCGGAGGA
rnacentral:rRNA from 1 species